ensembl:lncRNA
AGAAAUUUUAAUCCAUUUAAUCUCAUUCCAUUUAUUUUCUGUAAUACAGAAUCUUAUAGAGGCAAAACAGUCUCAGACUGAGUAUUGCAGACUGCAAAUAAUAUUGCCUGGAGCUUUUUAUGCUAAUUUUAUUUUAUCCACAUUUCUCUAGAAAUAUGCAGACUUUGUGGUUCAUAUAUGAAGAAGAGAAUAGUUUUCACAAUACUAGAAUAUUUCAGUAACUUGUGGCAAGAACGUAGUAGUAAAAAACAGAAGUUGAAAUAAAUAGGGAACAAUCAGUGUGCAGAGGUUAGUAUUUAAAGAUAAUAUUAGUAACCACAGGAAAUGACUACAAAAAUCUGAGUUGGUGAAACCUUUGCUGAUAACAACUUGAUAGAAAAGAUUAUAGAAUCAUAGAAUCUCUAAGGUUGGAAAAGACCCACAAGAUCAUCCAGUCCAACCAUCCACCCAUCACCAAUAGUUCUCGCUAAACCAUGUCCCUCAACACAACAUCCACACGCUCUUUGAACACCACCAGGCUCGGUGAUUCCACCACCUCUCUGGGCAGCCCAUUCCAGUGCCUGACCACCCUUUCAGAGAAGUAGCAUUUCCUAAUGUCCAGCCUGAACCUUCCCUGGUGCAGCUUGAAGCCAUUCCCUCUAGUCCUAUCACCAGUCACCCGAGAGAAGAGGCUGACCCCCAGCUCACUACAACCUCCCUUCAGGUAGUUAUAGAGAGCUAUAAGGUCUCCCCUGAGCCUCCUCUUCUCUAGACUGAACAAUCCCAGCUCCUUCAGCUGCUCCUCAUAAGGCCUGUGCUCCAGACCCCUCACCAGCUUUGUUGCCCUUCUCUGGACACACUCCAGGGCCUCGAUGUCUUUCUUACAGUGAGGGGCCCAAAACUGGACACAGUACUUGAGGUGCGGCCUCACCAGUGCUGAGUACAGAGGGACAAUUACUUCCCUGUUCCUGCUGGCCACACUAUUUCUGAUACAAGCCAGGAUGCCCUUGGCCUUCUUGGCCACCUGGACACACUGCUGGCUCAUGUUCAGUCUAG